AUUCUAUACCCCAUUAUUUGCCCGACCCCUGUCUGCUCAGUUUUAGGUUGGGGUGACCACGGAGUAUAAAAUAACCUCCAUGAAGAAGGGGAUAUUUCCCUUAUUAGAGAACCACACUUCCAAGAACUAAUAAAUUAAUUUUCAAUGACCCGAUACCCGAUAAUCGAUCAACGAACCAAGUUACCCUGGGGAUAACAGCGCAAUCCACCCUGAAAGCCCUUAUUAACAGGUGGGUUUACGACCUCGAUGUUGGAUCAGGGUAUCCCAGUGGUGCAGCA
rnacentral:rRNA from 1 species